UCGAACGAAGCACUUUAUUUGAUUUCUUCGGAAUGAAGAUUUUGUGACUGAGUGGCGGACGGGUGAGUAACGCGUGGGUAACCUGCCUCAUACAGGGGGAUAACAGUUGGAAACGACUGCUAAUACCGCAUAAGCGCACAGGGUCGCAUGACCUGGUGUGAAAAACUCCGGUGGUAUGAGAUGGACCCGCGUCUGAUUAGCCAGUUGGUGGGGUAACGGCCUACCAAAGCAACGAUCAGUAGCCGACCUGAGAGGGUGACCGGCCACAUUGGGACUGAGACACGGCCCAAACUCCUACGGGAGGCAGCAGUGGGGAAUAUUGCACAAUGGGGGAAACCCUGAUGCAGCGACGCCGCGUGAGCGAAGAAGUAUUUCGGUAUGUAAAGCUCUAUCAGCAGGGAAGAAGAAAUGACGGUACCUGACUAAGAAGCACCGGCUAAAUACGUGCCAGCAGCCGCGGUAAUACGUAUGGUGCAAGCGUUAUCCGGAUUUACUGGGUGUAAAGGGAGGGCAGGCGGUACGGCCAAGUCUGAUGUGAAAGCCCGGGGCUCAACCCCGGUACUGCAUUGGAAACUGUCCGACUA
rnacentral:rRNA from 1 species